rnacentral:rRNA from 1 species
CGUAACAAGGUAGCCGUAGGUGAACCUUCGGCUGGAUCAUUAUCGAUUCUAUAACCUUUAAUCGUUCUUCGGAACACCUUAUAGUUGUUGUUCGUGUCGGUUUCGACUGUCGCGAUAUCAGCACUAUGUUAUCUGCAGUAAAAGCUACGAUUGUGUAGAGGUUUCUAUGCGCUGGCGGAGUUGACGUUGAUCGUGUCGACAAAUGAUGCCAGUCGGCUGCUGUUAUCUUCGGAAGACGGCGUAGGAUUGAAAAGCCCGAGAGGCUGCCUCUACAAACCCUUGUUAUUUAUUUGAUUUUUAUGUAACAUUUGAUAAGUUACUCCGGUGGAUCACUUGGCUCACGGGUCGAUGAAAAACGCAGUGAAUUGCGAUAAUAAGUACGAAUUACCGAUAUUAUGAGUACCAUGUUUUUGAAUGCAUAUUGCGUUCUUGAGCUUUGCUCUUGAACUUAUCCGAUUCAGGGUGUGUUGUAAAACUUCAGUUACAUCAGGUCUUGUUGUUUACGAUGUAACAUAAGUUGAAUGAUUGUCCUCGAGUUGACGUUAUGUUGGCUUUAGGCAAGUUAUGCGGUUCCUUGUGAAUCGUUACUUUGCGGCGUGUGUUCGUUUAACCGCGGACUAAACCAUAAGAUACGAUGUGACGGUUGAUGAUCGUUAUAAGUGCUAGACUUGUUUUUUGCGCUUGAUUGUCGGCUAUUGCGUUGUAGGGCAUCGUGUAAACGUUGCACUUGUGGGCGUCGUUGAGCGUUUGAUUAUAACCACCUGAGUUGGGUAUGAUUACCUGCUGAACUUAAGCAUAUCAGUAAGCAGAGGAAAAGAAACAAACAUGGAUUCUCUAGUAACUGCGAGUGAAA